rnacentral:lncRNA from 1 species
AUGUCUCUUAAAGCUUUACUUGGUCCUGGAGAGUGGAGGAGACGGGUCAGGAGUCAGCCUCCAGGAGAGUGGAGGAGACAGGGGUCAGGAGUCAGCCUCCAGGAGAGUGGAGGAGACGGGUCAGGGGUCAGCCUCCAGGAGAGUGGAGGGUUCAGCCUCCUGGAGAGUGGAGGAGAUGGGGAUCAGCCUCCAGGAGAGUGGAGGAGACAGGGGUCAGCCUCCAGGAGAGUGGAGGAGACAGGGGUUAGCCUCCAGGAGAGUGGAGGAGACAGGGGUCAGGGGACAGCCUCCAGGAGAGUGGAUGAGACAGCGGUCAGGGGACAGCCUCCAGGAGAGUGGAGGAGACAGAGGUCAGGGGUCAACCUCCAGGAGAGUGGAGGAGACAGGGGUCAGCCUCCAGGAGAGUGGAGGAGACAGGGGUUAGCCUCCAGGAGAGUGGAGGAGACAGGGGUCAGGGGACAGCCUCCAGGAGAGUGGAUGAGACAGCGGUCAGGGGACAGCCCUCCAGGAGAGUGGAGGAGACAGGGGGCAGCCUCCAGGAGAGUGGAGGAGACAGGGGUUAGCCUCCAGGAGAGUGGAGGAGACAGGGGUCAGGGGACAGCCUCCAGGAGAGUGGAUGAGACAGCGGUCAGGGGACAGCCUCCAGGAGAGUGGAGGAGACAGAGGUCAGGGGUCUGCCUCCAGAGCUGCCUCGGCUAG